rnacentral:rRNA from 1 species
UACGAAGGGGGCUAGCGUUGCUCGGAAUCACUGGGCGUAAAGGGUGCGUAGGCGGGUUUUUAAGUCAGGGGUGAAAUCCUGGAGCUCAACUCCAGAACUGCCUUUGAUACUGAAGAUCUUGAGUCCGGGAGAGGGUGAGUGGAACUGCGAGUGUAGAGGUGAAAUUCGUAGAUAUUCGCAAGAACACCAGUGGCGAAGGCGGCUCACUGGCCCGGUACUGACGCUGAGGCACGAAAGCGUGGGGAGCAAACAGGG